ACGUCAAGGAACAUCUGCACUAAAAUUGUCGUGAUACAAAGAAUAUUAGAAUGGUCCCUGCCUAAGGAUGACAUGCAAAUUUGUUAUGCAUUUUCUAUAUUC
rnacentral:snRNA from 1 species